GUGUGGUGGCUUCAGCGGCUGAGUGGGUGUCGGCUGGUAGAGAACCUGAGGCAAAGGGCAGCAGCCGUCUGUGCCCACAGCCCUGCGAGCAGGGAGGUGUCCCAGGUCUCCUCUAUGCCCUUCAUAGUACUUAUAAUUUUGAGUUGGGAAAUAGACUGUAAGCUCCGUUGAUCAGGAGCCGGUGUCCCGGCGCAGACCGAAAUGCCCGGCUCCUUGUAGGUGCCUGGCUAGGCACACCCUCGUUUGUUGAGUCAUUCAGCAAACCCGGAGGCUUAACCUGGGCACAGGGUCUCGGAAAUGACUCCUGCCGAGUCCCUGCCAUCUGAGGGCGAAUGGGCUGAAUUCCUAGAGAGACAGCAGGUCAGAGAAGAACUGGGAAAGCUCAUGAUAUAGUUAGGCCUGCUAGGGAAUCCAGGAAGGCCUCCCAGGAGAGUUGCUUUUGUGCUAAACCUUGACGGAUUCCGGCAACAAGAAAUGAGGGAGGAGGGUGCCUCAGCUUGAGGAAACCUUUUUGAGCAAGGCAUGGCGGACAAAGAAGGAACUACAAUAGUAGUGAGUCCCAGCCUGAGACCUGUUUUCUGUUUUGAUGCUGUGCAAGAAUCUGCACAAAAUGAAACUUGUAUUAAAUAAACUUUAUCAUGUAAAGUCUGUA